rnacentral:rRNA from 1 species
UGGGGAAUAUUGGGCAAUGGGCGCAAGCCUGACCCAGCAACGCCGCGUGAGGGAAGAAGGCUUUCGGGUUGUAAACCUCUGUCCUUGGUGACGAAAAAAAUGACGGUAGCCAAGGAGGAAGCCCCGGCUAACUACGUGCCAGCAGCCGCGGUAAUACGUAGGGGGCGAGCGUUGUCCGGAAUUACUGGGCGUAAAGGGUGCGUAGGUGGCCUUUUAAGUUGGAUGUGAAAUCCCCGGGCUUAACUUGGGUGGUGCAGUGAAUACUGGAAGGCUAGAGUGCAGGAGAGGGAAGCGGAAUUCCUAGUGUAGCGGUGAAAUGCGUAGAUAUUAGGAGGAACACCAGUGGCGAAGGCGGCUUUCUGGACUGUAACUGACACUGAGGCACGAAAGCGUGGGGAGCAAACA